AUUGAACGCUGGCGGCAGGCCUAACACAUGCAAGUCGAGAGGAGCGGCGGACGGGUGAGUAAUGCCUAGGAAUCUGCCUGGGAGUGGGGGAUAACGUCCGGAAACGGGAGCUAAUACUGCAUACUAUCAGAUGAGGCUAGGUCGGAUGAGCUAGUUGGUGGGGUAAAGGCCUACCAAGGCGACGAUCAGGAACUGGUCUGAGAGGAUGAUCAUUCACACUGGAACUGAGACACGGUCCAGACUCCGACGGGAGGCAGCAGUGGGGAAUAUUGGACAAUGGGCGAAAGCCUGAUCCAGCCAUGCCGCGUGUGUGAAGAAGGUCUUCGGAUUGUAAAGCACUUUAAGUUGGGAGGCGUUACCAACAGAAUAAGCACCGGCUAACUUCGUGCCAGCAGCCGCGGUAAUUC
rnacentral:rRNA from 1 species